GCCGAAGUGGCGGAAUUGGCAGACGCGCUGGACUCAAAAUCCAGUGAGCUCCGGCUCAUAAGGGUUCGACCCCCUUCUUCGGCA
rnacentral:tRNA from 1 species